GACAGAGGGGGCAAGCGUUGUUCGGAAUUACUGGGCGUAAAGGGCUCGUAGGCGGCCAACUAAGUCAGACGUGAAAUCCCUCGGCUUAACCGGGGAACUGCGUCUGAUACUGGAUGGCUUGAGUGUAGGAGAGGGAUGCGGAAUUCCAGGUGGAGCGGUGAAAUGCGUAGAGAUCUGGAAGAACACCAAAGGCGAAGGCAGCAUUCUGGCUCGGACCUGACGCUCAUGUGCGAAAGCUAGGGGAGCGAACGGG
rnacentral:rRNA from 1 species